AACUAUAUAUUCAAAGUGAUGAUUUUAAAUUGCAAGUUUAAAGGUAAAUAGAAUAAUUUUAUAGUUU
rnacentral:tRNA from 1 species